GGGACCCGGCUCUACCUCCGCAAACCCCCAGCCCCGAGCUCCCGACCGUGCCGCACACCGAGGGGACGACCCAGAAGGGAACCACUGAUGCCAGCCCGACCUCCAACCCCUCUCCAGCAGCAACAUCUGGGAUGCCGGGAGCUGCUGGCCGGUCACCCAUGCCACCAGCGACUGAUGGGCCGUCACUGGAGAAGUCCACGCUGCCAGAGAUUCCCCCACGGCUACAGACAUCCACACCGGGAGAGGGGAUGGCCCCAGGGUCAUCUCUGGGGACAACCCCGCUGCCCACCGCCCCCACGGACCAUGCUGCAGUCUCCAUCCAGACCCUGGCCUCUUCCAUUGGGCUCCCGGUGCUGGUGGUCGCCGGUAUUGUGGCCUGCUGCUGCUGGAGGAUGAAAACGCGCACGGGGCAGAGCUACGCGGUGCCGGUGACAGCCAUCCCCAUGGUGGCUCCCGCUGCUGAGAACGAUGAGAUGAUGCUGCCUGGCGUCUUCCCCACGGGCUGA
rnacentral:lncRNA from 1 species